UACGGAGGGUGCGAGCGUUGUCCGGAAUCACUGGGCGUAAAGGGCGCGUAGGCGGCCGAUUAAGUCGGGGGUGAAAGCCUGUGGCUCAACCACAGAAUUGCCUUCGAUACUGGUUGGCUUGAGACCGGAAGAGGACAGCGGAACUGCGAGUGUAGAGGUGAAAUUCGUAGAUAUUCGCAAGAACACCAGUGGCGAAGGCGGCUGUCUGGUCCGGUUCUGACGCUGAGGCGCGAAAGCGUGGGGAGCAAACAGG
rnacentral:rRNA from 1 species